rnacentral:tRNA from 1 species
CAUCGAGAAGCUUCUAUAGCAUUAGCCUUUUAAGCUAAAGAUGAAAUAAAAUUCCUCGAUG